rnacentral:lncRNA from 1 species
GGGCUUGUACGCGGACAAAAACCAAGCUCCAAGCACAGGCCAUAACAUGUGGAAAUGCAAGAGCCCCCUUGGCAGUGCUGUUAUAAAGCCUUGAUCCUUAUUCAUGAUGCUAUCCUGCUAAAUAUACUGUCCAAUAAAGAUUGUCUUUGCAGUAUGUACAGUAUUUUAUAUGUGUCAUAUCUGAGUUUAAAAUGCCUUGUACCGUUAGAUAUUUUGUCUCCUUCAGUAGGACAAAAAAAAAAAUCCAGACAGUAAUUGUUUGACUUGGGGCAUGGGAAAUAAUUCAAGCUUAAGCUGGAAUGGGUGUCACCCUCUGCCCUAGGUCUCUGUCUGAAUGUGGGAAAAAAAUACAGGAUUUAUGCUAAAAUGUAGGGUCUUAUUUUGCUCCCACUGCCUACGUAUGCAAAUUUAAACUUUUAGGCAUUUUUAGUAUUAGUCCACUAACUACUGGAUUUAUAGCAUGUCAUGACCCAGCUCAUAAAACAUGAUGAAAAGAAUGGAAAAUACACAGUCUGCUAAACAUUUCACAAGUUUAAUACAAAUAACUGUGUAUCAGUAAGUGAGUGUGUUGGUGGUUGGGUGAGUGGAAGAUGUAUGGAGCGUAUUGUUUGGUGUGAAAAUAAACUACAAAGAUGGCCAAAGCCAACUGAGCAAAACUAUGUUAGAGGCACCCCCUGAGGACGACAGAGGGGCAAAAGCUCUGAGCAACAUAAACCAGAGUAAAAUGAAGCUACCUGAAGACACUUUUGUUCCAGCACAGUUCACUGUCUGUUCUCCCGAUGCAAAGCAGCAACAGCAGGCUGAGGCUGCACAGCUUGGCCCCAAACCUUCAACAUUCACAUCUUCUCUUGUAUGUUUUGCAGCUAGACUUCCUCUUUGGUUCUGUUUCUGAUGCUGCUUAUAGUUAAAGCCCCACUGCCCAAAAAUUUCUGCCAAUUUGGGGCAUCACUCUCGAGGGAUUCGAGUCUUUUCUUUAGUUUCCAGCACUACUCUAUUCUCUUCAUUUUCUUGGAUUUUUUAAAAAUGUCAUUAACUUAUUUAUUUUCUUGACAAGGACAUCCAUCAUCUGAACUCCAAAAGUGCACCUCACCCAAGAUUUUAGCUUGAAGUGCUGCCCUGAAUCUGACUGAAAAACAAAAGUUGGAGUUUCCCAAGGCUCAAUUCUCAGGUCUCUUAUAUUAAACAUUUUACAAUUAGUGCUUAAAAAACUCUAUCAGAACCCUUACCUUGGUUGUUGUCAUGCAUGUAAACAUUUCCAUCAAACAUUUACUCCUGAGUGUAACCUCAGCUGACUUUGUACAAAGAUUUAAAGAAACUUUAUCAGGACACAAAUUUUAAAAAAGGUGUUACCAUUCAGUCUAACAUGCCAGAAUAAGUCUAAAACUUAGGGCCUGAUCUACUGAGAUCCCAAACAGCGAACACUAAAUUGCGUGUGCGAACUAAAAAAUUGCACAUGCUUUUAGUGGGUGUGUUGCGGGUGAUCUACUAUCAUUGCGUGUGCAACUAAUAAAAGGUGGAGGAGUGGUGCGGACCGCCCUCUUUAAACAAGGAUUUUGUGUGCACUAUUGGCUGUCACCGGGGAGAGUUUGUGAGAGCAGAGUGAUCAACAAUGAAAAAUGAAGUUUGAAGCCAUGUAGUUGCACCUAUCGUUUUGGGGAACUGUGUAAAAGGCAAGCAAGGCAAGUUUAUUUGUACAGCACCAUUUAUACACAAGGCAAUUCAAAGUGCUUUACAGAUGCAAAAAAAUAUUUAGAAAUCAAAAAAGGGAUUAAAACAAUUUAAAAGUAAUAAGACAAACAUAAUUUUUUUUUGUGUGUUCCAUGUUUGACUUAUUUAUUUUCUUGACAAGGACAUCCAUCAUCUGAAUGUAGUGUUACAAAGAGUUUUUCAGAAGGAGAUAUGGCAUGGAUCAUUUUUGUGACUGACUCCAAAUCAGCCCUUAGGUCACUCAGCAUAAUUAUUACUAUUACCCAACUAUUUUUUAUCUCUGACAGUCCAAAUAUGUUGACACAUGCAGGGAAGACUAUCUCUUCGUCAUCUAUCAUUGCACUUCUGCUUCCUUCUUCCCACAAUGACCAUAUGUAAUUCUGUGCCAGUUUGCAUGUGCUUUUCAAACAUGCUAAAUAAAGACGCAAACCAGCGACUGCAAUUGAUAUUCGGAUUUGAUAAAUCACAUUGAGGGUGCUAAAUUAUUCUAUUUACAUCUGCUCCUGCCAGUAUUUUACGCGGCCGGGUGAUCUACAUACAUUCUGCAUUUUCAUGAAGGCAAAUACGCUAAAUCAAUUGUGCGUGCUGUUUUGCUCAUUUGACAGACGCAAUCCUUGGUGCACCUGGUUGGUAGAUGAGGUUUGUGCGUGCUAACAAGUUUGCAUGUGUAUUUGCACAUGCACACCUUUAGUAGAUCAGGCCCUUAGUGUUUGGUUCCCAUCAGUUUGUUUGCCAAAAAAUCCUCUUUGAAAAAUAGUACUAGUGGUUAGCACUUGUUGGGAAAGAGCCAAGACAAAUUUCUUAUCUGCAGUGAUGUCCAACAUGGAAAAAAAUCUCCUUUGUCCUCUCACUUCUGUAUCAGCGCUUAGGCCAUUAAUAGUUUGGUCACUUCCUCUUUAGGCCAAGUCAUCAGAUAGCUUUGUCACCUCUGCUCAGCUCUGAUAAUGUGUCUUCAUAUCAUCCCUCUCAUACAGGUCUGCUCAUACAUAUUAAUUGGAAAUCAAAUUGAAGAAGCACCUCCAUCCCCCUGUCACUUUUGCUGAGGUAUUAAUGGAAAGCCAUUAACCUGUUAACGACCACCACACUGUAAUGGUCAAUUAAGUGUCAUUAUACAUGCAUUUAUUCAAUUUUGUGUUGCAGAGUUCAAACAUCAGAGCCCAGCACAAAAUGAGAAGCUUCAAACACACAUACAAAAAAAAAAUGCCGUUGAUGGUAAUGGUUUAUACAGUCUAGUACAGUCUACUCUGUACUGGAGAGUGUCUAAUGUAUUUGCCCAGUGCUCUCCCAAACCAAACAUUACACUCUUCCUUCCUGCAGGGAGGGAGAAAAUGAAGCCGUUCUCUACUGAGAUUUGUCCCUCGUUGCUGCUGUCAUCACUUCAAACUGCCAGGUCAUUACUGCACCACAAGCAGCUUGGCUUAAUGUCUUUUGACUUAACACUAAUGACUGACUCUGCAUCUGUCCCUGCAGGGAGGAGAGCGGACGAGAGCACCGUGAAAAGCCACGCUAACUCUUAUUUGUGACAAUUAAGGCGGCGAUUUGCAUUUCAUCAGUUUUCUUAAAGUACUCCAACAAGGAUGUUUGGGGUUUCUGUAUGCCUGUUAACAAAGAAAUUAUGUCCCAUUAGGGGAGAGGAGAUGAUAAUAGGAGAGGUAGGAGAGGGAGAGGAGUAGAAGAGUCAAAACUCUCCCAUUUCCUUUCUGUCUUUCCUUCAUAUCUUCCCUCCACCUCCCUUCCAUCUACAUCUCUCAUAUCCAUCCCUCUUUUUAGCCCCUUUUUUCCCACUCUGAGCACAGUGUCGGAUAACCCAUGCAUAUUUAACAUUGCUGCAUCUUCAAAGCUAUGAACUUAUUCAUUAGCAUUUAGAGUGCUAAUGAAAGCACGCAGAGAGCUAGCACCCUCGCUGUUUCUCUUCACCUCCUCUCGACUCUACUCAUCCAACCCCACACCACCCGCUGCACAUGACACUAUCUACAGCACCUCAACCCCCAACCUGUCCAACCUCCCCCCUCGGCCGUGCUAUCUCUCCCUCUUUUUAACACAGAAUUCAAUUACAGAAGCAGCAAGUUACAAUUUAAAACAGAAAUGAGUGGGAGGAAAAGCAAAGUCUUGCUUGUUUUCUCUUAGUCUUCAUCUGUCACAAUUUCCACACAAAUUUCACUCAAUUUAUAUUUCCUCAGUACUUUUUUUCAGUUUCUUAAAUUGCUGCUUUUUCUGCUCUCUGCUCUCCAGCCUGGAGAUGAGAGGAGUUCCCAGGGGUCAUGAAGGUGUGUUGUUCUUUCCAUCACAUGCCCUCAUUCUUCCUGAGUCUCUUUCUCACAGUAAACACUCUCUCUUGGCCUCUCGCUGCACAGAAAAGACAGGAAGUGGCUUGAUGCUCAGUUAAUUGGGCAGGACACAGUGUUUUCCUCUCCCGUUCAGGUCCACUGAGUGAACAAAGUGGAAAGGGGAAAGCCUCUUUUUCACAGGAGCUGUGAAAGUCUCCAUCUUCUCCCAGCUCGUGGCUUCAGUUUCAAUCUGUCCCCCCCGCUCAAGCUGCCCCUUUCUGAAGAAAAAGCUUUUGAAGCCAAGGUGACGCACUCAAAAUGGGGGCGGAUCUCUACACCGCCUCCACAGCUACAGAUUUGUCGCUCUCCCACACUAAAACACAGGAGCCCAAGCAGGUAGCCUGAUUGACGGAGAGCAAAGGGAGACAGAGAGUGUACAGAAGCAAUAAAGGAGGAACUGGAGGGAGUGAUGAGGGAAGACAGACGCUGGAGAUAGUGAAUGCUUCGGAGAGAAGAAGGGUCUGGAAUGAGAGAGUUAAUCUGCAGAGAAACAGAUUGGCUUCCCAUCCCUCCUUCAAAGGAAAGCACAAAUUCAGCACUCUGAGACUCUCUCGCACUUUCUCACACACACACACACACACGCACACAUACUGUACUAUGCAUACGCUCUCACGGGACUUCACACACAAAAGAAAUUCAAAUGCUGGACACUCAAGCACGCAGCUUAUACAUGUAAAGCACAUGCAAAAUUUUCAGAGAUGCUUAUAUCGAAAGAACAUGGUCUUGAUUCAUCAGUAUGUGCCUUAUUCGGCGGCUGAUUGCUGCGCUCCAUCUCUGGCACAAAAACACUUGGGGUGACCACACAAUAGGGUCGGCCAAAAGAUAUGGGUCAAUAAAACACGAGGGACAUUUGAGCUCAAAAGGAAAUUGAUUUCCCAGCAGCCAGAAUAUUCUGCAACCUUCACAAACCUUCAGAGACCUGUUUCCUGUCACUUAAAUAAGGCUGAGCUAUAUAGGGUUUGGUCAAGUCCUGUCUCAGGACUGGCACCAUAGCUCUUGGCAUUUCACAGUGCAUUAGUCAAUAUCUUGACCUCAUUAGUCGAUACAGGAGCUUUAUCAUACUUAUCACAGUGCUUCAUACCAUUGAAAAUUUUAAGUGGCCAAAGAUGAUUAAGAAAUCUAAAGUUUCUCCUUUCACAACAGAUUGAAUAUAUCUGGUAAAAUUUGUUGUGAGAGGAUUUUGUUGAGGUUCUGUUUAUGUGCUAUUUUAAAGGUUCCACACACGUCCAAGGGGGAUACUAAAGCAGGGUGUGCAGAUCUCAAGGUAACUUACACUUAUUUUUCUAUAUCCGUUUCCAAAGCUAAAAUGAUAAUGGGUGAAGAAGUGUUUUCCAGUUUAUUAUUCUGUGCUCAAAUGUCUUGGCCUAAAAUAGUGGCUUGCUCAUGGUGGAGAGGAUGUGUUUCAGGUUGCUAGCAACCGUCAACCUUGGGUCUCGAAAAAUGAUCGAUGAUAAGUCUCUAAGACUAGUCUUUGUUCAUAGGCAGAAAGAUUUCAAACAUCUACAUUUUCUGUGAUUAUGGUUAUUACAGUUGCAGCCUGCCAAGACAUGUUAUGACAAUGGUAGACCCAUAGACUAUAUAUAGAAUGGACGCCGUCUGCCUCCUCGCUGGGCGAAGUCACCCCAAGAACAGCACCCUCUGUUGACGGGCUGCAGUAUAGGUCAUAAAUCCCGCCUCCUCCACCAUUCCCAUGGAGCUGUGGACAAACUUGAGAAAUUUAUUACAGCUCAGUUUUUUUAAGUUAUUAGGGGGUUCAUGUUUUCUAUGAUUGGCACUUGAUACAGCCUAUGGGCGUAUGGAGAUUGCGUAGCUCACCCGGAGGAUAGGCUAUUUGAGCCGAGCAUCAUCACAGUGACUCUCGGCUAAGGUGACCAGAUGUCUGUAAUGAAAUCCGGGGACAUUCGGUGCAGUGGCAUCUCUGUACUAUUUAGUAGCAGCGCAUGCCCCUUGUAAUAACCCCCCGUUAAAACUUUUGUCCAGGACUGCUUACUUGUGCUUCCUACCCAUUCGGCUACGGUAAUAACAGUUAUUCUAGCCUACACGCAACAUUUUUGUUCUCAUUCAUGAAACGCUUAAAUCAGGGACAUUUUCAGGGACAGCUUUUGCCAGGGACAGGUCAUCCAAUUCGGGGACUGUCGCGGGAAAUUGGGGACGUCUGGUCACCUCACUCUCGGCGACUCUCCUGCCGAAUGCGUACAAUGCUACUGCACAAGUGGUGGAGUGCGUACAACACUACUGCGCAAUGUUGGUUUCAGGAAGUAGAGAAAAAACGCAGAAUUACAGAGACCCUUUUUUAGCUUCAAAUCCGUAUACAGGCAGAAGGUGGAACCAAGUUGUCCAUAGUAUAUACAGUCUAUGGGUAGACCUCAAAGUCCCCAGGUGUGACAAUUGAGAUAAUGCAGUGACAAAAACAGCAUCUUGUGAAUAUAAGCUGAGUAUAUUAAGUGGCAUUCAGGGUCAGUGGGUUCUCCUUGGGACAAGUUCAGCGAUUACAAGUGGACCAUUACAUGCUUUGGUUCUGAUUUAUAUUGUUUAAAAGCCUGAGGCAUUUACUUAUUUUAUUAUGUCAAAAUGUCUUCCUUAUUUGAAUAUCAUUUU